rfam:Pteropus alecto contig80716, whole genome shotgun sequence.
GCCUAUGGCCAUGCUACCCUGAACAAGCCUGAUCCCGUCUGAUCUUGGAAGCUAAGCAGGGUCGGGCCUGGUUACUACUUGAAUGGGAGACUACCUAGGAAGACCAGAUGCUGUAGGCG